GCCGGAGUGGCGGAAUUGGUAGACGCAGUGGACUUAAAAUCCACCGGUAUCUGAUACUGUAUCGGUUCAAGUCCGAUCUCCGGUA
rnacentral:tRNA from 1 species